AAUGAACGCUGGCGGCAUGCCUAACACAUGCAAGUCGAACGAAGGCUUCGGCCUUAGUGGCGCACGGGUGCGUAACGCGUGGGAAUCUGCCCUUGGGUUCGGAAUAACAGUUAGAAAUGACUGCUAAUACCGGAUGAUGUCGUAAGACCAAAGAUUUAUCGCCCAAGGAUGAGCCCGCGUAGGAUUAGCUAGUUGGUGGGGUAAAGGCCUACCAAGGCGACGAUCCUUAGCUGGUCUGAGAGGAUGAUCAGCCACACUGGGACUGAGACACGGCCCAGACUCCUCCGGGAGGCAGCAGUGGGGAAUAUUGAAGAAGGGGGGAAUGCCGUAUCCAUAAAUGCCGCGUGAGUAUAAAAGGCUUUAGGGUGGAAAAGCUUUUUUACCGGGGAGGAAAAUGAAAGUCCCGGAAAAAUAGGCCCCGGCUAAGUUCGUC
rnacentral:rRNA from 1 species